rnacentral:rRNA from 1 species
GAGUUUGAUCAUGGCUCAGGACGAACGCUGGCGGCGUGCCUAACACAUGCAAGUCGAGCGAUGAAACCCUUCGGGGUGGAUUAGCGGCGGACGGGUGAGUAACACGUGGGUAACCUGCCUCAAAGAGGGGAAUAGCCUCCCGAAAGGGAGAUUAAUACCGCAUAAUAUGUUUUGAUCGCAUGAUCGAAACAUCAAAGGAUGUUCUUUUAGAACUUCCACUUUGAGAUGGACCCGCGGCGCAUUAGCUAGUUGGUGAGGUAACGGCCCACCAAGGCAACGAUGCGUAGCCGACCUGAGAGGGUGAUCGGCCACAUUGGAACUGAGACACGGUCCAGACUCCUACGGGAGGCAGCAGUGGGGAAUAUUGCGCAAUGGGGGAAACCCUGACGCAGCAACGCCGCGUGAAUGAUGAAGGCCUUCGGGUUGUAAAGUUCUGUCUUCUGGGACGAUAAUGACGGUACCAGAGGAGGAAGCCACGGCUAACUACGUGCCAGCAGCCGCGGUAAUACGUAGGUGGCAAGCGUUGUCCGGAUUUACUGGGCGUAAAGGAUGCGUAGGCGGACAUUUAAGUCAGAUGUGAAAUACCCGAGCUUAACUUGGGUGCUGCAUUUGAAACUGGGUGUCUAGAGUGCAGGAGAGGUAAGUGGAAUUCCUAGUGUAGCGGUGAAAUGCGUAGAGAU